AUUGAACGCUGGCGGCAGGCCUAACACAUGCCAGUCGAGCGGAUGAAGGGAGCUUGCUCCUGGAUUCAGCGGCGGACGGGUGAGUAAUGCCUAUGAAUCUGCCUGUGAGUGGGGGAUAACGUCCGGAAACGGGCGCUAAUACCGCAUACGUCCUGAGGGAGAAAGUGGGGGAUCUUCGGACCUCACGCUAUCAGAUGAGCCUAGGUCGGAUUAGCUAGUUGGUGGGGUAAAGGCCUACCAAGGCGACGAUCCGUAACUGGUCUGAGAGGAUGAUCAGUCACACUGGAACUGAGACACGGUCCAGACUCCUACGGGAGGCAGCAGUGGGGAAUAUUGGACAAUGGGCGAAAGCCUGAUCCAGCCAUGCCGCGUGUGUGAAGAAGGUCUUCGGAUUGUAAAGCACUUUAAGUUGGGAGGAAGGGCAGUAAGUUAAUACCUUGCUGUUUUGACGUUACCAACAGAAUAAGCACCGGCUAACUUCGUG
rnacentral:rRNA from 1 species